GCCAGGCAUGGUGGUGCAUGCCUGUAAUCCCAGUAACUCAGGAGGCUGAGGCAGGAGGAUUGCAAGUUUGAAGCCAGUCUCAGCAUUAUAGUGAGCCACUAAGCAACUUAGCAAUACCCUGUCUCAA
rnacentral:sRNA from 1 species